rnacentral:rRNA from 3 species
AAUCCAGAGAUGGAUUUGUGCCUUCGGGAACUGUGAGACAGGUGCUGCAUGGCUGUCGUCAGCUCGUGUUGUGAAAUGUUGGGUUAAGUCCCGCAACGAGCGCAACCCUUAUCCUUUGUUGCCAGCGGUCCGGCCGGGAACUCAAAGGAGACUGCCAGUGAUAAACUGGAGGAAGGUGGGGAUGACGUCAAGUCAUCAUGGCCCUUACGACCAGGGCUACACACGUGCUACAAUGGCGCAUACAAAGAGAAGCGACCUCGCGAGAGCAAGCGGACCUCAUAAAGUGCGUCGUAGUCCGGAUUGGAGUCUGCAACUCGACUCCAUGAAGUCGGAAUCGCUAGUAAUCGUGGAUCAGAAUGCCACGGUGAAUACGUUCCCGGGCCUUGUACACACCGCCCGUCACACCAUGGGAGUGGGUUGCAAAAGAAGUAGGUAGCUUAACCUUCGGGAGGGCGCUUACCACUUUGUGAUUCAUGACUGGGGUGAAGUCGUAACAAGGUAACCGUAGGGGAACCUGCGGUUGGA